rnacentral:rRNA from 1 species
GAUGAACGCUAGCGGCAGGCCUAACACAUGCAAGUCAGGGGUAACAUAGAAAAGCUUGCUUUUCUGAUGACGACCGGCGCACGGGUNCGUAACGCGUAUACAACCUACCUUUUAGCGGGGAAUAGCCCAGGGAAACUUGGAUUAAUGCCCCAUAGUAUAUAGACUUCUCCUGAAGUUUAUAUUAAACAUUUAUGGCUAUUGGAUGGGUAUGCGUCCUAUUAGUUAGUUGGUAAGGUAACGGCUUACCAAGGCAGCGAUAGGUAGGGGUCCUGAGAGGGAGAUCCCCACACUGGUACUGAGACACGGACCAGACUCCUACGGGAGGCAGCAGUGAGGAAUAUUGGACAAUGGGCGAGAGCCUGAUCCAGCCAUGCCGCGUGCAGGAAGACUGCCCUAUGGGUUGUUAAACUGCUUUUACUAGAGGAAGAACCACCCCCACCGUGUGGGGGUUUGGACGGUACUCUGCGAAUAAGGAUCGGCUAACUCCGUG